CUGGGCGUAAGGGAGCGUAGGCGGAUACUUAAGUGGGAUGUGAAAUACCUGGGCUUAACUCGGGUGCUGCAUUCCAAACUGGGUGUCUAGAGUGUUGGAGAGGAAAGUGGAAUUCCUAGUGUAGCGGUGAAAUGCGUAGAGAUUAGGAAGAACACCAGUGGCGAAGGCGACUUUCUGGACAAUAACUGACGCUGAGGCUCGAAAGCGUGGGGAGCAAACAGGAUUAGAUACCCUGGUAGUCCACGCCGUAAACGAUGGGUACUAGGUGUAGGGGGUAUCGACUCCCUCUGUGCCGCCGUUAACACAAUAAGUACCCCGCCUGGGGAGUACGGUCGCAAGAUUAAAACUCAAAGGAAUUGACGGGGACCCGCACAAGCAGCGGAGCAUGUGGUUUAAUUCGAAGCAACGCGAAGAACCUUACCUAGACUUGACAUCUCCUGCAUUACCCUUAAUCGGGGAAGCUCCUUCGGGAGCAGGAAGACAGGUGGUGCAUGGUUGUCGUCAGCUCGUGUCGUGAGAUGUUGGGUUAAGUCCCGCAACGAGCGCAACUCCUAUUGUUAGUUGCUACCAUUAAGUUGAGCACUCUAGCAAGACUGCCGCGGUUAACGCGGAGGAAGGUGGGGAUGACGUC
rnacentral:rRNA from 1 species